GGCCCCAUCGUCUAGUGGCCCAGGACAUCAGCCUCUCACGUUGAAGACACGGGUUCGAGUCCCGUUGGGGCCA
rnacentral:tRNA from 2 species